UAAUUACAAACAUCAUAAACAUUUGUAAAUGAUUAAUACGGGUUGAACCUUUUUUAUAGUUAGCUUCAAAAUUCUUUGCUCAAGAAAAUAGUCAUAAACAAGCACCCAAUCAUCGAUCAAACAUACCCUAUCCUUUUAACUAAGGAUGUCAAUGGUUACUGAAGGAAUAUAGGAUUUUCGUAAUAAUGAGCAUACAUAUUGCACGAGAAAAUGUCCAUACGAUAAAAUGUAAGCAUUAUUAAACUCUGUCGCAUAUGAAUCAAAGUAUCGGUACAAAGGUUCUUCAAUCAACUGUUUCAGCUCGUUGAGUCCUUUGAAGUUCCCGCACACACACACACAAAAGUUUAGGAAAUAUAUCAUCAAUUUCAAGAAGAAUGCCGGGGAGUAAUUAACUCCAGAAUGAUCUAUGUUAUCUAGAUCUCCAAGGCUAUAUGAGAUGAACCUAUCCAGUACCCACCAUAUUUGAGGAUAUACUGCAGUUCAAAGUGAUAACAUUUUCGGAUCCCUACACUGAAAGCCAGAACAUUGGUGCUGGCGGCAUCCAGUUAUGCGAUCUAUUAAUAAAGGCUGAUACAACAGUACCAGUCAAGAGAAUAGAUAAACUGUCUAGAAUUACAAAUUUGUAUACACAUCAGUAAACGGUUAAACAAGUGACCUGUUCGAAAUACUAGACAUGUACUGAAGUUAAAACUUAUGGAAUGAACAUUUGGAAUUGUGGAAUA